rnacentral:rRNA from 1 species
AAUUAACUAAGAUUCCCUUAGUAAUGGCGAACGAACAGGGAUCAGUUCAAGCCUUUAAUCCUUCCCCUCGGGGAUAGGAGUUGUGGUCUACCCCUUGUUUAUCUGUACCGUCGUCCCGACUAGAUCUAGCGAGAUAUAGUGUCACAGAGGGUUUCAACCCCGUCUGUUGGGAUUGUGUGUACUUAAGAUAGCUUUGGUGUGAGUCGUGUUGCUUGGGACUGCAGCAUAAAUUGGGAGGUAAUAUCCUUCUAAAACUAAAUAUUACCAGGAGACCGAUAGCGAACAAGUACCGUGAGGGAAAGAUGAAAAGGAAUUUGAAAAGAAUGUGAAAAGUACGUGAAAUCGUUAGGUGAAAGCGAAUAGCAUGCCCUUAACGUGGGUUUUCCGGUUGUUACGCUCUCUUGUUCAUGCGUGCAUGUCUUUUGAGUACGCAAUUGGUUAACUGAGGAGAGAUUGUUCUUGUUCGUCUGUAGUCGUGACUUCGAUUUCUUUUGUUACCGCCAUGGUGGUGCGAUUGAUUUUGGUUUCCUUCUGCUUUCGUUUGUUCAUCUUGACGUUAUUAUUUGGCGUUGUUAUCCGACCCGUCUUGAAACACGGACCAAGGAGUCUAACGUAUGUGCAAGUCCUCGAGUUGUAAACUCAAAGGCGUAGAGAAAUCGAUUGAAUGAUAACACUUAGUGUUCCUCAUCGGCUGUGAUUGAAAUCUUCGGAUGAAGAAUACUCGCUUGAGCAUGUAUGUUGG